GUGACAUCGUGGCCCGGAGGCGCGUGAAUACGGGGGGGGCAAGCGUUAAUCGGAAGUACAGGGCGUAAAGCGCACGUAGGCGGUUUUCUAAGUCAGAUGUGAAAUCCCCGGGCUUAACCUGGGAACUGCACCUGAUACUGGAAGACUAGAAGGUGGGAGAGGAGAGUGGAAUUUCCGGUGUAGCGGUGAAAUGCAUAGAGAUCGGAAGGAACACCAGUGGCGAAGGCGGCUCUCUGGACCAACAUUGACGCUGAGGUGCGAAAGCGUGGGUAGCAAACAGGAUUAGAUACCCUAGUAGUC
rnacentral:rRNA from 1 species